rnacentral:rRNA from 1 species
CCUACGGGGGGCAGCAGUGGGGAAUAUUGCACAAUGGGGGAAACCCUGAUGCAGCGACGCCGCGUGAGUGAAGAAGUAAUUCGUUACGUAAAGCUCUAUCAGCAGGGAAGAAACACUGACCUUACGGUCAGCAGACGGUACCUGAGUAAGAAGCCACGGCUAACUACGUGCCAGCAGCCGCGGUAAUACGUAGGGGGCAAGCGUUAUCCGGAUUUACUGGGUGUAAAGGGAGCGUAGACGGUUCGCCAAGUCUGGAGUGAAAUGCCGCAGCUUAACUGCGGAACUGCUUUGGAAAAUGGCGAACUAGAGUGCGGGAGGGGGAAGCGGAAUUCCUAGUGUAGCGGUGAAAUGCGUAGAUAUUAGGAGGAACACCGGUGGCGAAGGCGGCUUACUGGACCGUAACUGACGUUGAGGCUCGAAAGCGUGGGGAGCAAACAGGAUUAGAUACCCCAGUAGUC